rnacentral:sRNA from 1 species
ACACACGAAGGGAGGUGAUCGGGUACAUGAGUGAAACCCGGACGCGUGAGGUGGCUGCGGGCUAGCGGCCUGCUACCACACCCUGUGCGGUGCCGGGCCGGCGUGGGUUAGUACCACGCAGCCGGCCCAAUCCAACGCAGUCACCCGACCCGCGAGCUCGCCGGUACGUCCGGCCGGCCCUUCCUCCGGAGGGACCGAGCUCGCGGGUCGCCUGCG